rnacentral:rRNA from 1 species
UACCAGACUCCUACGGGAGGCAGCAGUGAGAAAUAUUGGUCAAUGGGCGAGAGCCUGAACCAGCCAAGUCGCGUGAAGGAUGAAGGAUCUAUGGUUUGUAAACUUCUUUUAUAUGGGAAUAAAGUGAGGAACGUGUUCCUUUUUGUAUGUACCAUAUGAAUAAGCAUCGGCUAACUCCGUGCCAGCAGCCGCGGUAAUACGGAGGAUGCGAGCGUUAUCCGGAUUUAUUGGGUUUAAAGGGUGCGUAGGCGGAUUUUUAAGUCAGCGGUAAAAUGUCCGGGCUCAACCCGGGCCGGCCGUUGAAACUGGGGAUCUUGAGUGGGCGAGAAGUAUGCGGAAUGCGUGGUGUAGCGGUGAAAUGCAUAGAUAUCACGCAGAACUCCGAUUGCGAAGGCAGCAUACCGGCGCCCGACUGACGCUGAGGCACGAAAGCGUGGGGAUCGAACAGGAUUAGAUACCCGAGUA